AUGGACAUGAGUUUGAGUAAACCCCGGGAGUUAGUGAUGGACAGGGAGGCCUGGCGUGCUGCAGUCCAUGGGGUCACAAAGAGUCAGACAGGACUGAGUGACUCAACUGAACUGAACUGACCCACAAUCCCUCCAGCAACCAGGCCCGAUCCAUGGGGAGGAUGUGGAUUCGUGUAUGCAAGCUUCUUUAAGGUCAGGGUGGGCGCCCCUCCCGCGCCGCCGCCAGCUCUGCGUGUUCUCACGUGGUGGUGGCGGUGGGGGGAUCUCCGCGGAUUUCACGCAGGGGUGACUCUGGAGCGUCCCCCUGCUUACUGCGAUGGAAGCAGGACGCGGCGGGGCGGGGCGGGGGCGGACCUAGAACUGGAAGGGGGCACUUCCAUUUGGGUAGGAGUCGUUGGGGUGCAGGUAAGAGCCUGGGGGCCGCGGGAGAAAAGGGGAAAGAGGUUAGGAACGCGCCCCGCGGGCAGUGGUGCGGCGCCGUGCGAAGGAGACGGCGGACGGUGACGGUGACGGCCGCGGCCGCAGCGCGGGGGGCGGUGGCCGGCGGAAGCUAACCCGCCGCAGGGGCGCCUCGCCGGGAGUAGUGCCCGGAGCCCCGCCCCAGCGCGCGCCGCCGGACCCGCCGCUCGUCCUCUCGGAGGUGGCCGCGUCCGGAGGGCCGGAGCGCGGAGAAGGACACCGGAGCUGCCGGGAGAGCCGCCGGGGCGCUCCAUCACCAGCCCUCCAGAGUCGGACGUUAGCCGGAAUCAGAUCUCAGAGGCCUGGAAGUAACUCCAAGGAACCAGUUCCAAAGCAGAAGCAUCUCAGAUGAAGAGAAGGCCUCCCCGACUCCCUGCCCUACGGCCGUGGCUGGGUGACUUGACUUUAGCCUUCCUCCCCUAUCCGCCUUGCCUUUCCUCUGCCUCGGCAUUGCCCCAGGAGAUGAUUUAAGUCUGAUUUCAUCAGCUUGCAGUCCAUUUGAGGGAGCACUCCUUCACAAGCCUGUCCACUGCCCUGGCCCCUGACUGACGGCUUCCAGUCUCCAGAGGCAGCCCUGUGAUGUCACUGGGAAAGAAUUAGCAUCACCUUAGUUCAGUAGAGCCAAGGCCUUCCCGAUAAGUUCAGCGCAACACCAAAGUGAACCCCGGAAACACCACGGGGAACUCGUGGACAAGGAGGACUGUAGCUCUUUUUCCUGGUGAUCAGUCCCACCCGGUGAGUAACCAGAUAUGCACACCCGUUGUUAGAUUAGUCUUCAUUAGCAAACUGCGUUUUCCUACCAGGGUUUCAAAGACCAUCAGUGGAUCUUGCUUCCUGAAAGGUUAAAUGGAAAUGUUGAUAGGGAUAGAAUAGGACAGUUAUACAGGCAUCUGGGCUUCCUUGGUGGGUCAGAGGUAAAGAAUCUGCCUGCAGUGUGGAAGACCUGGGUUCUAUCCCUGGGUGGGAAAGAUCUCCUGGAGAAGGGAAAGGCAACCCACUCCAGUAUUCUUGCCUGGAGAAGUCCACGGACAGAGCAGCCUGCUGGGCUACAGUCCAGGGGGUUGCAAAAAGACACGACUGAACAACCAGCACACAUACAGGCGCCUGUAGAAGUCCCUGUAGGGGGCUAUAGAUAGAGAGGGAAACCCAAGGAACUUUGGGAGACCACUGCCAGUUAGUGAUCGUUCAAGAAAGCUAUCAGAAUAUCAUGAAAGGAAACAGGCUUGCGUAACUAUAAAACCAUAAAUAAAAGCAUGAGAUAUGCCCCAGAUCAUUAGGUGGAAGAAAAAUAUCACCACCCUUCCAUGAUCUGAGUAAGUGCUAUAAUAAUCCUAGUUUGACUUCAGCGAGUCAGACACUCUCCUGCGAGGUAUGAAGGAGGAACUGGUGAUAUAAGCCUUGUGUCUCCUCAAAGAAGGUGGUCUUUUCUUCUUCCCACUUUCGUUUGAUUAUAAAAUUGUAGCCCACUUUAAUCUCAGGACUGAGCCUCCCACCUGCCCGCUUGCCUAUCUCACAAGCAUUCUAUAUUAAUAAAUCUAUUUCUUGCCUAUCUCUGUGCCUCUCGCUGAAUUCCUUCUGUGCUGAUAUCCUGAGCCUAAGUCCAGACACCAAGUAAGUGAAUCUAAUUAAAAGAUUAGGGGUUCGAGUCCCAAUCUGAGGUUUGACCUGGAGAAGGGCAGGUUUGAGUCCUGGCCAUAUGGGUUUAAGUCCCAUUCUGUGUUGCAUGAUUUCAAUGUGACUUGGUUUUUAAAGCCUUCCAAAAUCUAUUCCCAUAGUGGCUCUGUAAAUUCACCUCCUAAUCCUCUACAGUCCUGAAUCAGAGUCUGAUUUCAGUCUAAAUCAUUUCUACAAAUAUUUAUUGAAUGCCCCAGGCACUACAGUAUGUAUUACAGAUAAAUAAGACAAAGUCCCUACUCUAAAGGAGCUUAGGACACAUCAGGAGAGUCAAACACAGAAGUAACUAUAACAUAAUCACAGUAAAAAUAAUCAGUGACUUUACUGAGUGCUUCAUAUAGUCCAGACACCAUUCUAAGCCUUUCAUAUCCAUUCCUUUAAUUCGUACAGUACACCUACCAGGUAGGUAUCAUCAGUGAAACAGGAGGGAAGGGAGCAGGGAGAAAUCCUUUAAAAGAAUAGUCUAGUGCAGGGACAUUACAUAAAUUGAUAAGAACAGAAUAAUGCCAGACAGUGGACACAUGGAACGAGUUGGCUUCCACUAGACCUCGAGUCUCAACAUACACUCAUACAUGCAGUGUGUUUGUGCUCAGUCGUGUUUGACUCUUUGUGACCCCCUGGACUGUAGUGUGCCAGGCUCCUCUCUCCAUGGAAUUUUCCAGGCAAGAAUACUGGAGUGGGAUGUCAUUUCCUCCUCCAGGAGAUCUUCCUGACCCAGGGAUCGAACCCGAGUCUCCUGGAUCUCCUGCAUUGGCCAGCAGAUUAUUUACCACUGUGCCCCCUGGGAAGCCUCAUUAUAGCACAUCAGCACACUAAAUAACACACCCAGAGGUGCCAUGACAGUUCCAAGGCCAACCAUAAAGGUAAAAAAGCAGGCAGUGGCCCAAUUCCUGGAAAUUCCCACCCCUUCCCCAAAAUUGUGAAAUAUUCCUCCCACUUAUUAGCUUGUGAAAUUACCCACUCCUAUAAAAACUGACUACCCCAUACCCUGGGGCCACUCUCACCUUUUCCGACAGCCCACACUCUGUCUGAGGAGUGUGUUUCCCUCUAAAGAAAUCCACUUCUCACCUAUCCCUUUGUCUCUCACUGAACUCUUUCUGACUCGAUGGACGUGAGUCUGAGUGAACUCCGGGAGUUGGUGAUGCUGCUCCUGGCGUGCUGCGAUUCAUGGGGUCGCAAAGAGCCGGACACGACUGAGCGACUGAACUGAACUGAACUGAGCUCUUUCUGAAAUGAGACAUCAAGAACCUGAGCUUCACUAAGUCCUGAGACCAGGUGUGAUCUCAGUUACAACACUGUCAGUUCAAGUCCCAGUCUGGGUUUUGGCCAGACUUGAGACCAGUCCACCUGGGUUCAAGACCCAAUCUGAGUUGCACGGUGUCAAUAAUAUCCUCAUUCCACAGCUAAACCACAGAGGUGGUUUCCCAAGAUCACAUCGUUUGGUGGACCCAGUAAUUGAACCAUCACCACAUCCUUAACUACAGUAUUUGAUAAUGUGAAGAAAGCUGUGUUUGAUGAGAACAAAGUCUUCUGGAAGCAUAAAGGACACAGUCAAUCAGCUUGGAGCCAGGGGACAUGACCUCACUGAGACAGUGCCACUUUAUUCUUCCUGUCUGCCCCACCCCCUUCCAGAAAGAGGUUGGGCCAGCUGACACCAACAAUGAAUGGGUUAAUGCAGUGAUAAAACAGAAAUGGUAGAUCAGGACCAAGGAAACUGUAAAUAUCAUACAGAAAUCCAAACCAGAGGAAAAAUAAAUUUGGUCCCCAAGAAAUAGUUUAAUUCCACCAUACUUUGCAGACUUUGAUAUCUGACUGUGCUCUGAGCUCUUUGGUAGUGAAAGAGAAGACAGAGUCAUGGGCAAUUGCAUAAUGUUUGUUAUCAUAAAGGGAAAAGCAAACCAGUUCAUCAAGGGGAAAAAUCAGCGUUUCUUCAAGCUAUGUUCUAAAAUAAAGGUUUCAAGUAAGAAUUUUAUGAAUGCCACUGAGAGCCAUAAUAGAAAAAAUGGCCCCUGUAAUGCUAGCAUAUCAAAUGUAAUAGGAGAUUUUAUAUGGAAAUUUCUCCUUCAAUUCAUUGAUAAAAGCCAAGGGCAUGGCAUAAAUACUAUUCAGCAAAGAUGACCCCAUUAAUGCUACUGUUGUCUGAACUCAGAACUUUCUGGUGUCUAGAUUUCUACCUGAGUCCAGAAAAACAGGGAUUUUUCUAGGCUGAGAAGCAGGAUAAAGGCAUGGAGGGAGGAGAAACGACAUGGUCUACCCUGUGCCAUGAUUUCUCGUGUCUGUUUGAGGAGGCAGAGAUGCAGGAAAGCCAGCAGUGAACACACCUUUGUCACCUGCUGGGAGUCUGCCCUGUCCAGGCUCCGGGUCACAGCAGUGGGCAGGACAAAAUUCCUGUUCCCCAGGAGCUUCUGCACCAGACGGUGGGUGUGGGGAGGAGCAGGGAAAUAGAUCAGAGAACUGGCCACGGGCUUUGGAGCGGUGGAGGUCCUUGGUGGUCCUCACUGUGGUGUUAGAGGUGAGGUGGGAAUGGAGACCCAAGUGGUGUGCAUGGAGGUGGGAGCAGGAGUCAAAGAGUGGAAAGUGAGGGUCACAACUCUUUUAGGAGGUUUCUUGUGGAGGGGGUGGGGGGAUAUGGUGCUGGAGGGGGACAGGGAUAGAGGAAAGCAUCUUCUUCAAAAAUAGUGGUUGAUAUUAAGACAUAUGUGUGUCUGCGUGUGUGUGUGUGUAUCAGAAUAACACAGUAAAUAGAAACUGUUGAUGUAAGAGGGAAACAAUCCAUGUAGAAGCACAGUCCUGGGAAAGGGAGAGAGGAGGGAACACAGGAUCCCCGAGGAGAGGCUGGCCUUGGAGAGGAGAAAGGGCAUUCCUUGUAACAGAGGAGAAAGCAGAGUGAGCAGGCUAAGUCAUAAGUUAGGUUAUGGGUUUGAUGAUAGCAAAAUGGGUGUUUCCUCCUCAUCUUUCUUUGACAUGUGAGGCAAGGUCGCUCUCUAAGAAUGAUGAGGAGGUGAGUGACUGGAGCCUGGUGUUGUGGAUUUCCAUCAGAAGCCCCUGAGGUGUUGAGCAGGGCGCUCCGAGCCUCCCUCCUCACCGCAGUAACUAGCUUCCUGAACUAGGGUGCUACAUCCUCCACAAUGACCCCAUCCAUAAACUUUAAACUCCAGCAUCAGGCUCUCUUACCUGGUAGCCAGCUUUCCAAUUUCCACCGACUUGUCCUUAUAGCAGCACACCCCUAUUGACAUCCCAGGGACUUCAACCAUUCCUCUGGUCUACUGGGUCCCAAUCAGGUUUCUUUUCCCAGCAUCAGGGUCUUUUCCAAUGAGUUGGCUCUUUGCAUCAGGUGGCCAAAGUAUUGGAGCUUCAGCUUCAGCAUCAGUCCUUCCAAUGAAUAUUCAGGACUGAUUUCCCUUAGGAUG